rnacentral:lncRNA from 1 species
GUCCUACAACCUCUAAAUACUAAACAUAACUAAACCUCAAUCUUUAGAUACUAAACCGUCUCUCAAUCACACCACAACUCCUAAAUACUAAAUCCUAAACCCAAAUCAGUAAACCUUAAACUCAAAUAUAAAAUUCUAAACCCAAAUAUAAUGGAACAAAAGAAAUAACAUAGUACAUAUUGAUAAAAUUAUGAAAUGUCUAUUAUUGCAUGGAAGAAGUUAAUACUGAGCCCAACCAUACUCUUUCACUUUCUAAAUACUAAACCGUAAACCCAAAUCACUAAACUCUAACCCAAAUAUAAAACUCUAAACCUACGUAUCAAAAUCUAUAAAGUACAUAAUAUUAUGUAAUAUUAAAUUCUAACCCCACACAUAACUCCUAAAUAUUAAACCCACCCCCAACUUUUAAAUAUUAAACCAUAAACCAUUAUUAAUAAACCCAAACACAAAUGUAAACUACUACAUAUUUAUAAUUUUUAAGUAGUAUAGGAAAUCAACUCUAUCUCAACCCCUAUAAUCUAGAUAUUAAACUUUAUCCCAAACCCAUUCAACCCCUAAAUACUAAAUCCUAAAACCUAAUCAGUAAACCCUAAACUCAAAUACAAACAAUAAACCCAAGUAUAAAUCUUAAACCCAAAUAGAAUAGAACGAAAUAAAUAGCAUAGUACAUACUGGUGACAUUAUGAAAUGUCUAUAAUUGUAUG